CUGAUGUCCAGUGCCACUUCAAGGACUAUUCUCCCUGAACUGCCAAAAGCCUGUCUACAAUAGACAACAUGACUCAUGUACAACGCCACAACACCACGAUGCACCUCAAAACACCAGAACUAGAACGUUCCACCUGCCACAUCUGGGCUCGAGGAUCUAGUGUGAGAGAGGAAGUAGGAAGGCCAGAGGUGGCGAGUGAGUGACUCCAAGCAAACAGGGUCAUCUGGAUCCAGCACUGAUGAGUGCAAGAUCUACUGGACUAUGAGAGCGCCCUCAAAACCUGCAUCGGUUCAACAGGACAAGAGUCCAGCAUGGAGAAAGGAGGGUGGACACAGGACUGAGAGAGUCUCACUACAGCCCUGGCCGACCAAGAACUUGCA
ensembl:lncRNA